UUUUUCUUCGGAAAUUCAAAAUGACUUGAGGGUAGAAACUGAUGGACCAGGAAACGAAAGCUGUCCAUCCAAAUACUUGAUAUACGAUUUCCAGCGAAGUCGAAUUCCAGGAGGCCAUUGUGAUUCCCUUGGAACUCCCUCGGAAUUGACUCCCUGGGAGUUGGAUUUUGGAUAUUUUUGUGUCGUCGGUGACUCGGUGAGCGAGGUCAAGGUGCCGAGUGGUUGGAUUGGUCAAUCUUCCCACGUGAAUGAUUCGCCCGAAUUUUAUGUUUUGGGACACGGAAUCUGCAAAACUGGUAUGGAAAUGGGGGUUGCUUAUUCCAAGGUUUGAUUGGAUAUGUGGAUCAUCUGACGAUGUUG
rnacentral:lncRNA from 1 species